rnacentral:lncRNA from 1 species
GUCGUAACUGAUCUUUCCAAAUCCCCUCCCAAGCACAUGUUCUCCAUAGUUCAUUGAAUGUAGAUAGAAUUCAUUAUUAGUUUCUACUAUCACUUAUAACAAAUAAAUAUGGCAGACAAUGAACAAUUUUACCAUCAACUUUUUUAUUGUGUUCAUUUGUGUUUGCUAUGAUCAAAUUUGAUCUUAAUCUUCUACAUUGAAGAUUAAAGAUGCCAAAGGCUGAUAACAUGCUAGUCUUAAAGAAAAGACGAUUCAGUCAUAAACGCAACAUAGGUUACAGGGCAUCUCGAGAAAUGAUUUGAGGAAAAUUCAGUUUCUGGAGAGAUGUUAUUUUCCUUUUAGUUGCGUUCAUAUAAUAUCUUGUUGGAGUAUAGGGUAUCCAUGCACUUGCUCUGGGUUACAAAACAUGUGUUGAAUGGUCUAAGGAUAGUCUUGUAGAAGCUUUCAAAAUUAUGAAUGUUUAAGAAAAGUCGCCAAUUGAAAAUGGAGAUCCAGCUCACAAGGUUUUAUAAUUAUAAAUUGAUUUACAUGUUGAUUCUUCCAAUUGUUAAGGGCAUCAUACUCUAAAAUAGAGAGAACAUAUAGGCACGCCCAAGGAUUUUGGUACAAAUGUCUUAGGAUGCUUAUCCCCCAGUUACCAUUAUAGCCGGUAAAUAUAAUUGUAGUGGUCAAGUUUUCAAUUGUUCUCUUUGCAAGUCCAAACUUCCAGCAACACAUAACAGCAAAAGGAGCUUGUGAGAGUUAAAAACAAAUUGGAAUUAAAGGUAGAAUCUUAUGUUAGAUUUACCGAGAAGUAAUCUCACACACAUGCCUACUAUUUUGUUAGCCAAGCAAAACAUAUUCCAAUAAACCAUGAACAAUAGAGAAGCCCUUGGCUAGAUCAACUGACCAUUGCUUAAAGAAAAUGUAAAAGAAGAUACCUGAGGAACAUGGCUUGAACUGAACAAUGAGCAAAUCUUGAGUAGGAGAACAAAGAAGCUGCAACCUUCUAGAUCUGACAACGUGCGAAAUGAAAGCAGAGGAACUUGUUAGAGCAUAAGCAUGUCAGUAGACAGUUUACAAAGAAGGAAAAGAUUAGUCCAUUUACCCAAGGUUAAAGCCCAGAACGGAUGAGAAAAGCAGCCAAUAUUAAUGGAACAUCUAAAAUAUAGGCACCAAGCCAGACAUGAGUAGCCACCUGAUAUCAGCAUCCAAAGCGACCUGAUAUGAGCCUCCAAUAAAAUUGGUAGAAAAGCAGUGGUGUAAACAUAUAAAUAUAAGAGAAACAAAACAUUAUAACUUAUUAUGGCAUGGGAACUAUUUGUAGAAUCUUUAUCAUGCGAAUCAAACAACUCUAGAAUACAACUAUUUGAUAUGUACUUCAACCGUGCUUGAUGUAUACUCUGUAAAGCAAUGUAAAUGCUCUUAAUAAUGAGAAAUACCUAGAAACAUUAGGAGAAUAAGCCCCAUGUGUAAGAAAAUCUUGAACCUGUAAAUUCAUGCCUGAAGCAAUGAACUGAACAUUAGCUCUGUACAUUCACCAAGAUAAAGAUAACAACAUUCUAUGAAAAGAAAUUGCAUAACUGGCAUCACAGUUUUCUUGGUCAGUAAGUUAUAGAACCUGGACACCCACCUAAGCUCAACUGCUACCCGACCCCCUCUGCUCCAACCGUAGAACAUUCAUUCCUGCCAAACAAAAACAACAUUGGUAGUGCUGCAAAAGUGUAUAAUCCAGCGCCAGAUAGUGAUGCCUACGUCAAUCAAAUUCCUAGGAAUUUUCUCCGAAAAUAGACCGAUUUAAUCAUUCUGUUCUACAAAAAGACCUAAAUCACUAUUGCCGAGCAUCCACACUCGAACUAAAAACAUCAUUUCGUAGCUAAUCCCCGAAUACAGAUAGUAAUCCAACAAAACCAAAACACUGCAUUCACCAAAUAUGGAGAUCUGAAGAUCGGAAGGGAGGCGGAUGGCUAAACGCACACAACACACAGACACACACGCGCGCGCGCAAGCAGGGCAGGAGGACCAGGGAAAGCAGGGGCUCGGAGGAAGUUACCUUGCCUGGACGAGAUUCCUGGCGGCAACGGUGGAGCUGAUUCGUGGCGGCGAUGGAGGUGACUCGAGG